ACUAAACAAAAGUUACAAAGUGAACUUGCAGUGCUUCCCUUAAGGGAGAUGUAGUUACAAUUCCAGUGCACUGGCCCACUCUCUCUCUCUCUCUCUCUUGGUGGUGUGAGACUUUCUACAACCGAAUGUCUAAAUACCAUGAAUGUCCCAUCACUGAACCAGGAGCAAUUAUCAAGAGGACUCUAAGGGAAGCCUCCUUCCAGUGAAUAUUCGGAAUGAUGUUUUUAUUUAUUAGGUUGAAGCAGUUGGUGUGCUUUAGAAAAUGAUCAUAGAACAUUGGGUCGGGCAGCUCUGUAGAAAAACAUGGAAGCAGCUGAAGGUGUUCCUCCCUUUGUUUGUAUGCUUCUGGAAGCCAUCAGAGGCCAUCCAUCAAACAACCUGGCCUGUCUUUUGUGCUGUCACACAGGGCUGGAGCAUAUGGGAAGAAUUAAUGUGGCAGAUGAGAGGAAAAUAAGUACUGGUAUACAAAGACAAAAGGAGUUCCAUCCUGUUUAUUCCAUUAAGUCUUAGCAUUUAUUUUUUUUAGACAUAUGCCAUA
rnacentral:lncRNA from 1 species